rnacentral:sRNA from 1 species
UUUAGUUUAUUAGAGCAUCAUGUGGUGGCUUAGGAAUGUUUAGAGUUUAUAGGACAUUUAAUGAAAUUUUAGUAUAUAAUAAUAGAUAAUUCAUGUCAUGUUAAUUAAUAUAUCAAUCAAUAAUUAAAUAAUUUGUAUGCGUAGUGCCAACAUAAUUUUUUAUUGGUUCGCCACUGAACAAUUAAGUUGGUAUAAAGUAAUGAGUCUACCAAUUUUAUUUUAAAAAAUAAGGUGGUUAUUUUUUCAGCGGUAUUUUUUAAGAUUUUCUUUUUUUUUCAGAAGUUUGAUAUUCAUCAAUUUUUUUCGAAGGCUAUAACUCACCAAAUUAUAGGCUGAAGGCUAAAAAUCACAAAAUUAUAAGAUAUAAGGUUAAGAGUAAAUUUCACAAAACUACAGGUAAUUUGAUCAAUUUAUCGCAAAAGUACAGAUUUAACAUGAUAUAUCACAAAACUACAGAUUUAACGCUAAAUUUAUCAUAAAACUACAGAUUUAAGAUGUAAUAUCACAAAACUACAGAUUUAGUAACAAAGUUAUCACAAAACUACAGGUUUAAUGACAAUUUAAUCACAUUACUUGAUCAAUUAUAAGUCCAACAUAACAUUAGUGCUAAGGAUUUCAGCCUCAAAAUCUGUAGUUUUGUGAUAAUUUUAUUAUUAAAUCUGUAGUUUUGUGAUACUUAGCCUUAAACCUGUAGUUUUGUGAUAAAUUUAUUGUUAAAUCUGUAGUUCUGUGAUACAUCACCUUAAAUCUGUAGUUUUGUGAUAAUUUGACCAAAGUACCUGUAGUUUUGUGAAAUUUACUCUAAGGUUAAUAUUCAUGAAUUUUAUGUGCGUCGAUCCCAGUGCAAAUACUCAUGAAAUAUUGGAGUGAAAAAAAUAUUUAUGCAUUUUCCCCAAAAGAUCAUGAAAUAUUAGGCCAAAGGCUAAAAAAAUAUUGAAUUUUCUUCGUCCUAAGGUUAGCAUUCACGAAUUUUAUGUAGAAAUGUUUCAAGGCUAAUACUAUUGAAAUUUUGGGUCGGAGAAAUGUUUAAAAAUCAUGAAUUUUUUGUCCUAAUGUGUACAUUCGUGAAUUUUAUCCGCAAUGAUGCCAAUGCUGGUUGUUGUGAAAUAUGGCAUGGAGAACAAUAUUCAAGGGUUUUUUCUCAAAGGUUCGUAGCAAGGAAAGUUUGGCUGAAGCCCGAAGGAUAUAUAUCAUGAAAUUAUAGGUUGAAGGGCAAUAUAUAUUUUUUAUAUUGUAAUAUUAAUAUUGAAUUAUUUUGUUCUGAACGGGCCCAAGGCAAAUAUUCGUGAAUUUUUGGGAUAGAGAUAAAUAUUCAACUACAAUUACUCAGAACGAGGAAAAGUCACUUCAUGUUAGCAUCAUGUGUUUCUAGAAAAUUAGAAAAAAAAAUAGUGAAAUUAAAUGGAAAAAAAAUAUAGCAGCAACAAGGAUUGCGUUAGGACAAUCGAAAGUCUCUAGAUAAAUACAAUCUAGAAUGUUUACUUCAAACAAGGAAAAUUAAUACCUAAAUUUCUAUAGAAUGGAAAGAAUAAAAAGUGAAAUUAGAUGAACAGAUAUGUAUUCUCUGUUAACCGACAAGUUCAGCACUACUUUCCUAUUAAUUCGGAGCAUUUUGUUUUUCUUUUAUAAUCCUCACAUUAUACUUUUUCUAGAUACUAGGAAUCUAUUUAUUUUGGAACAUGGGUAAGUAAAGACAAUAAUUUUGCUAUAUUUUUUGUUUGUGAAACUCAAUAUAGUUAUAGAUGCUUAUAUGCACGCGCGUAUAUUACUCACUCCUAUAAAUAUACACACUGGCACUUUUUAAGACUAGGCCGUUAGGCAUAUAUUUGAACUGAUAAAGAUUGGUAGGUUGCCUAUCAUUGAAACAACAAAUAGUCAUAAAAUGCAAGAACUCGUACUAAGUCUAUGACCUAAACCUGUAUAGGCACGGAACCUAACCAGCUGAGCUGCAUUAGAAUAACUGGAUAUAUGAAAUCAAGAUAAGUAUGUUUACUAUGUCGAUGUCCCUUGCUCUAAAUAAAACCAGUAUAAACAAAAAGGUAACAUAAGACAAAUUUAUUUUAGAUAUAUAUUUCGGACUUAUUAUACAAAGAGCAAUGCUACAUGUACUAAUUUUUUUUCUUGUUAAACUUUUACUAACAAUCAUUUCAACCGUUUGAUUUAAGUACAUGCACAACCUUCCCAGCAUAUAUACUACCCUAGUUCAUUGCUCCAAACAGGCACAGAUAUAGUACAAUAUAUACAUACAUGUAUAUUAAUUUUGAGUAGUCGUAAUGACCUGCGUAGCACCCCAGGAUAUUGAGUUCAAAUCUACGUAAGAGUGAAUUUCAGAUUGGGUUAUUUGAAGGACUAAGUUCCUAACUUAAAUGGCUGCAUAUGGCUGCAUAUAUCCACAUGUAUAUGCUGGGUAAAAAAAUACUCUUCCGAAAAUAUAAAUUCAUCAGUUCUUACUUCGAGUAUGUACACUGAAUCAUGUCAAUUAAUUUGAGGUCUAUCUUUGUUGUAAAAAGCAACUAUGCAGCGCAGCAACAAAAUGUGCAACUAGCUAGUACACGGCAGAGUUGCACAAAGCAGCUGGAGUAGACUGCGACUUCUUUCCCGCCGGUGCCGUCGGAGCUUUCAAUUUCGAAAUUCUUUCCCGGGGGACCGAAAUUACCAAAAUUUUGGAAAUGUUGAAUUUUUUUAGCUGAAAUUAUUUGAAAUUUUGACUGUCUUAAUGAAUUUUAAUUAAAUUUGACCAAAAUCAGAAAAAUUUGCAAAAAAAAAAUAAAACCGAAAAUUUCGGGCGAGAUGUGAGCUUUCCAGUAGGGGACAAAAUUACCGAAAUUUCAAAACGAAAUUGCAAACCCUGCCCUUAAGUCAACAUUCUCAUUGGCGGAGUGGUGAAACCACAGAACUUUGUAAACUAUCAGAAGAAAACUGACAGAUUUCGUGGCGUCACUGCAGCACAACAAUUCCUGGGACCUCCCAGUCCAAACAUAGAUAUAUAGAAUGUAUGGUAGGAUGGAUGCAAUGACCGAGUGAAUCAUAAGUGGAAAUGCUUCACUUCCAACAAAUAUAUACUCCCUCCGUUUCAAAAUAUUUGACACUGUUAACUUUUUAGCAUAUAUUUGACCGUUCGUUUUAUUUAAAAAAAUUGUGAAAUAUGUAAAACUAUAUGUGUACAUGAAAAUAUAUUUAACAAUGAAUCAAAUGAUAUAAAAAGAAUAAAUAAUUACUUAAAUUUUUUGAAUAAGACAAAUCGUUAAAUACAUACUAAAAAGUCAACGCUUCAAACAUUCUGAAACGGAUUGUGUAGAAGCUAGCAACAUGCAUCUCAGCCAUUAAUAAUCUCUGGCUGCCUUAAAACUAUAGCCAAUUCUUUUCGUAGCUAGAAACCAUCCACUUAAAACGUACUAGAGUACACAUGUGGUAACACAAGUUGUUGUCUUAUAACUUUUUGCCCCAUUGAAGCACACUUGUCAUAAAAUGAAGGGAAAAGAGUGUAUCAGUGUUGUUUAAUUAGAGAAGUGUGUGUUUGUUUAUCUGCCUCUUAAUUAGUUUUCCCAGGGAAAAUCAUUACAAUGCAAGCAGCAAAAAAAUCACGUCAUGCAGGGGAGGGCCCACGAUUUUGAGGUUGCGUAUAAGCGUACUCAAAGUAGAAAGGGGUAAAAGAAAUUUAUCUUUGACAGUUUGUAUGUUGUUUCACGAAUCACAUUAUUAGGCCAUAAAAGUUGUGUGAAUUGGACCCUCAUAGGAGAGGGAGCCAAGCCUAGAAAGACAGGUUUAUUUACUAAUUAUAUAUAUUUUUAACUUUUUUAUAAACAUACAUAUAACAAAAAAAAUUGGGUCUCCAUUUCAAUACCCGUGAAUCUAAUUGGGCCGCUGUGAGCACCGUGAAUGGAAUUACUAAACAAAAUGGAAUUAAUAAGGCUGCGUUCUUUUGCAAUGGUUCCCAACUCCAUCCUCUUGUUUUCCGCGUGCAUGCUUUUCAAACUAUUAUAUGGUUUGUUUUCUGCAAAAAAAUUCUAUUGGAAAGUUGCUUUUAAAAAUCAUAUUAAUUCACUUUUCAAGUUAGUUUUAGCUAAUACUUAAUUUUUUUACGGUUAAACAGCAGGAGAGGCUUCUACUGCGCUAUAUUAAAAAAAUGGGGAAAUUAUGUACAAGAGCUAAUACUUAAUUAAUCAUAUGCUAAUGUGCUUUUCCAUUUUCUAUGCUGGAAGGGAAGGUUCCCAAUCAGUACAAACGAACACAACCUAAAUGGCUGUUGAUAGAAAAUUGUGGGAUUUGUGUCACAAUCAGACCUUGGGAUUUGUGUCACAAUUUGUGCUCCGACAAUUCCAACUCGUUCUCCUCUAGCUCUAUAGAAUCUUCGGCACCCGGCGCCGGCAUGUUGAGUUAGGGUUUA